AAAACACUUCUAACCCCAACACCUCAACCACACAAUUUCAAAUCAUUUCGUCACUUGUCCCUCCUAUCUAUACCCCAAAAAAACCUAAACACCUCGUACCUUGUACCACAUAAUAUACCCCAAACCCAAAAGAACACCUCGUACCUCGAGUACCCCAAAAGCCCAAAACCCAAAACGCCUCAAAAACCUUGUAUAUAACAUCCACCCUUCCUCUCCGUGUCAUUGUAUGAUACCACAAACCUCAACGUAAAAGAACCUCACACAACCCCCACAAACAUUCCACAAACCCCAAUCUCUAUGUACUAAUCCGCAAGUGCUGGCAUGAUUGAAACCCAUGGCAGAAAUGACGGCCUUGUUCUUUUCACCUGCUGGCGGGGGGGGGCGCCAAAUAAACAAUUAGGGCCUGGCAUAUUUUACAGAAGAUCUAUUUUAUAAAAAGCGUGGGCAGCCCGUGUGAUGAGCAAAAAGAAUCCUGUUUUAUUAAACAUGUGCACGCAGCAGAUAGAUAGAUAGAUUGAUAGAUAGGGAGGGAGGGCUGCCCCCACACCCACACCCAGCCUCUUUAUAUUUCCCCGGUACAGCCUCUCACCCAAAAAGACCACCACACACCUAUGCCCCAAUUCCCGGAAGCUUCCUAAACCUUUCUAUAUGCCAUUACCUUAAGAUAGGAUGCCUGUCCACCGGAUUUGUGCGUAAGACAUGUCCCUGAGAAGCCAGUCUCUGAUGCCAGAGAGCCACAUAUGUGAUGCGCGAAGGCACCACAACAAAACAUAUACAUCUCUCACAUAUGUACUUGCUUACGUCUUACAAAAUAACCCGGCAAUCACACUCACCGAUGGCCGCGGACGUGUUCCUACGCCGCCGCAGACUCUGAACCGCACCACAGCAUCAUAUCGUCCACACACGAUGCGCUGCCUCCUCGUCUGCACCACACGCGACAAACAUCAUCGUUCGCCCUGCAGAGAAUUAAAAUAGAACACAGUUGAAUAAAUGAGUGAAAAACGAAUGCGAUUCCGUGGUGCGCACGAACAGAAGAAUAUUACUUGCCACGAAUUACGUGGCUGAACAGCUCAGCUAAGCUCUAGCUGCGACAGCACAAUAAUAAUAAAAAUAAUAAAUUAAUAAAUAACAACAACAACAACAAUAAUAAUAAUAGUGGUGAGCGAUUUGCCAUCAAGAGAGCUAAAAGAAUAUUGUGCAGGGCUUGCCUGAUGCAGCGGCAAAAUCUGCCGUUGUGUCCACCUUUGUAUCUAUUUGCGCAUGUUGCUAUUAAUGCUGUAAUUGUCCAUACAUGGAAUUUACGCUUCGCGAGCCAUCUAUAAUGUGGUGCAAGCCCGAGAUGUGCACGCGUGCGCGUGUGUGUGUGCUCUCCUUGUUGGUGCCCCCACCCACCCACCCACCCCGGUACAGCCUCUCACCCAAAAAGACCACCACACACCUAUGCCCCAAUGCCCGGAAGCUUCCUAAACCUUUCUAUAUGACAUUACCUUGAGAUAGGAUGCCUGUCCACCGGAUUUGAGCGUGCACACAUGUCCCUGAAAAGCCAGUCUCUGAUGCCAGAGAGCCACAUAUAUGAUGCGCGAAGGCACCACAACAAAACAUAUACAUCUCUCACAUAUGUACUUGCUUACGUCUUACAAAAUAACCCGACAAUCACACUCACCGAUGGCCGCGGACGUGUUCCUAUGCCGCCGCAGACUCUGAACCGCACCACAGCAUCAUAUCGUCCACACACGAUGCGCUGCCUCUUCGUCUGCACCACACUCGACAAUCAUCAUCGUUCGCCCUGCAGAGAAUUAAAAUAGAACACAGUUGAAUAAAUGGGAGUGAAAAACGCAUGCGAUUCCGUGGUGCGCACGAACAGAAAAAAUUACUUGUCACGAAUUACGUGGCUGAACAGCUUAGCUAAGCUCUAGCUGCGACAGCACAAUAAUAAUAAAAAUAAUAAAUUAAAAACUAAUAACAACAACAACAACAACAAGAAUAAUAAUAAGAUGGUGAGCGAUUUGCCUUCAAGAGAGCUAAACGAAUAUUGUGCAGGGCUUGCCUGAUGCAGCGGCAAAAUCAACCGUUGUGUCUACCUUUGUAUCUAUUUGCGCAUGUUGCUAUUAAUGCUGUAAUUGUUCAUACAUGGAAUUUACGCUUCGCGAGCCAUCUAUAAUGUGGUGCAAGCCCGAGAUGCGCACGCGUGCGUGUGUGUGUGUGUGCUCUCCUUGUUGGUGCCCCCACCCACCCACCCACCCCGGUACAGCCUCUCACCCAAAAAGACCACCACACACCUAUGCCCCAAUGCCCGGAAGCUUCCUAAACCUUUCUAUAUGACAUUACCUUCAGAUAGGAUGCCUGUCCACCGGAUUUGUGCGUGCAGACAUGUCCCUGAGAAGCCAGCCUCUGAUGCCAGAGAGCCACAUAUGUGAUGCGCGAAGGCACCACAACAAAACAUAUACAUCUCUCACAUAUGUACUUGCUUACGUCUUACAAAAUAACCCGACAAUCACACUCACCGAUGGCCGCGGACGUGUUCCUACACCGCCGCAGACUCUGAACCGCACCACAGCAUCAUAUCGUCCACACACGAUGCGCUGCCUCCUCGUCUGCACCACACGCGACAAACAUCAUCGUUCGCCCUGCAGAGAAUUAAAAUAGAACACAGUUGAAUAAAUGGGAGUGAAAAACGCAUGCGAUUCCGUGGUGCGCACGAACAGAAGAAUAUUACUUGCCACGAAUUACGUGGCUGAACAGCUCAGCUAAGCUCUAGCUGCGACAGCACAAUAAUAAUAAAAAUAAUAAAUUAAUAAUUAAUAACAACAACAACAACAACAACAACAAUAAUAAUAAUAAUAGUGGUGAGCGAUUUGCCAUCAAGAGAGCUAAAAGAAUAUUGUGCAGGGCUUGCCUGAUGCAGCGGCAAAAUCUGCCGUUGUGUCUACCUUUGUAUCUAUUUGCGCAUGUUGCUAUUAAUGCUGUAAUUGUUCAUACAUGGAAUUUACGCUUCGCGAGCCAUCUAUAAUGUGGUGCAAGCCCGAGAUGUGCACGCGUGCGCGUGUGUGUGUGCUCUCCUUGUUGGUGCCCCCACCCACCCACCCACCCACCCCGGUACAGCCUCUCACCCAAAAAGACCACCACACACCUAUGCCCCAAUGCCCGUAAGCUUCCUAAACCUUUCUAUAUGCCAUUACCUUCAGAUAGGAUGCCUGGCCACCGGAUUUGUGCGUGCAGACAUGUCCCUGAGAAGCCAGCCUCUGAUGCCAGAGAGCCACAUAUGUGAUGCGCGAAGGCACCACAACAAAACAUAUACAUCUCUCACAUAUGUACUUGCUUACGUCUUACAAAAUAACCCGACAAUCACACUCACCGAUGGCCGCGGACGUGUUCCUUCACCGCCGCAGACUCUGAACCGCACCACAGCAUCAUAUCGUCCACACACGAUGCGCUGCCUCCUCGUCUGCACCACACGCGACAAACAUCAUCGUUCGCCCUGCAGAGAAUUAAAAUAGAACACAGUUGAAUAAAUGGGAGUAAAAAACGCAUGCGAUUCCGUGGUGCGCAUGAACAGAAGAAUAUUACUUGCCACGAAUUACGUGGCUGAACAGCUCAGCUAAGCUCUAGCUGCGACAGCACAAUAAUAAUAAAAAUAAUAAAUUAAUAAAUAACAACAACAACAACAACAAUAAUAAUAAUAGUGGUGAGCGAUUUGCCAUCAAGAGAGCUAAAAGAAUAUUGUGCAGGGCUUGCCUGAUGCAGCGGCAAAAUCUGCCGUUGUGUCUACCUUUGUAUCUAUUUGCGC
rnacentral:lncRNA from 1 species